rnacentral:rRNA from 1 species
CCUACGGGGGGCAGCAGUGAGGAAUCUUGGUCAAUGGCCGGAAGGCUGAACCAGCCAAGCCGCGUGAAGGACGAAGGUGCCAAGCAUUGUAAACUUCUUUUGUCAAGGGACAAAAUCAGGCUCGAGAGCCUGACCGAGGGUACUUGAAGAAAAAGCAUCGGCUAACUCCGUGCCAGCAGCCGCGGUAAUACGGAGGAUGCGAGCGUUAUCCGGAUUUAUUGGGUUUAAGGGGUGCGUAGGCGGACUGUUAAGUCAGCGGUAAAAGUCCGGGGCUCAACCCCGGCGAGCCGUUGAAACUGGCUGUCUUGAGAUGUCGAGAGGUAUGCGGAAUGCGCAGUGUAGCGGUGAAAUGCUUAGAUAUUGCGCAGAACUCCGAUUGCGAAGGCAGCAUACCGGCGGCGAUCUGACGCUGAGGCACGAAAGCGUGGGUAUCGAACAGGAUUAGAUACCCUGGUAGUC